UCAUGGGUGGUUCAGUGGUAGAAUUCCUGCCUUCCGUGCAAGAGACCCAGGUUCGAUUCCCAGCAAAUGCA
rnacentral:tRNA from 1 species